rnacentral:rRNA from 1 species
CCUACGGGAGGCAGCAGUGAGGAAUAUUGGUCAAUGGGCUUACGCCUGAACCAGCCAAGUCGCGUGAGGGAAGACUGCCCUAUGGGUUGUAAACCUCUUUUGUCAGGGAGCAAUUGGCGCUACGUGUAGCGUUAUCGAGAGUACCUGAAGAAAAAGCAUCGGCUAACUCCGUGCCAGCAGCCGCGGUAAUACGGAGGAGGCGAGCGUUAUCCGGAUUUAUUGGGUUUAAAGGGGGCGUAGGCGGAAUGCCAAGUCAGCGGUAAAAUCGCGGGGCAAAACCUCGCUCCGCCGUUGAAACUGGCGUGCUUGAGUGGGCGAGGGGUAUGCGGAAUGCGUGGUGUAGCGGUGAAAUGCGUAGAUAUCACGCAGAACACCGAUUGCGAAGGCAGCAUACCGGCGCCCAACUGACGCUGAAGCACGAAAGCGUGGGGAUCGAACAGGAUUAGAUACCCUUGUAGUC